rnacentral:SRP_RNA from 14 species
GAGGUUGACAGCUCGAUGCAUCCAGCUUGGGAGCAGGCAUGUGAGGAUGUUGGCAUGGCCGGGCACCUUUCGAGGUUGAAAGGGUCGGCCAGGCAUGAAGCUGUGUCACGGAGCAG